rnacentral:rRNA from 1 species
CCUACGGGAGGCUGCAGUGAGGAAUAUUGGUCAAUGGACGAGAGUCUGAACCAGCCAAGUAGCGUGAAGGAUGACUGCCCUAUGGGUUGUAAACUUCUUUUAUAUGGGAAUAAAAUGUUCCACGUGUGGGAUUUUGUAUGUACCAUAGGAAUAAGGUACGGCUAACCCCUGGCCAGCAGCCGCGGUAAUAGGGAGAAUCCGAGCGUUAGCCGGAUUUAUGGGGUUUAAAGGGAGCGAAGGUGGAUUGUUAAGUCAGUUGUGAAAGUUUGCGGCUCAACCGUAAAAUUGCAGUUGAAAAUGGCAGUCUUGAGUACAGUAGAGGUGGGCGGAAUGCGUGGUGUAGCGGUGAAAUGCUUAGAUAUCACGAAGAACUCCGAUUGCGAAGGCAGCUCACUGGACUGCAACUGACACUGAGGCUCGAAAGUGUGGGUAUCAAACAGGAUUAGAUACCCUAGUAGUC